CAGUGUGUAAGACGCUCACGGGCGCGCGGACUAUCGGGCGGCUAGGCUCUCUGAGGAGGCUGCCACAGUGAAGCAACCGUGACAAGUGGUGCCCGACCAGGGACCUGAACGAGGAAGGUCUGCCAGAGCAGAGAAAGUGAAACUGAUCAGACGAACUACGAACCCCUGGACGGGAGAGUCUGCCGGCGGAGAAUAUAAGGAGAUGGACAAACCGUGUGGGUGCCCUCCAGGUGUGUGUGACCAUGGAACGGGAGACCGGAGGGAUCCAUGGUAUUCAACCGUGGGCCUGUUACCUCCAGUACGAGCCAUGAGCCAGCGGAAUCUGAAUGCAAAGACAGAACAAGGGCCGACCGGAGUCACAAUGACAUCCAACCCCAUAACAUGGGGACAGAUCAAGAAAACGACACAAGAAGCUGAGAAACUACUGGAGCGCCAGGGUCAGGCAAAAACCCCUGACUCCAUGUUCUUGGCCAUGCUAGCUGUAGUGUCCUGUGCGGAUCGGGUGAACCACCAACCGGCAAUUGAAAGC
rnacentral:lncRNA from 1 species